rnacentral:misc_RNA from 1 species
UGUGAUUGUGGCCUUGAGAAUGAAAAUCAAUUGUUUUUAAAUAAAGAAACAAAAUUAGGAAGUCAUGUGUGUUAUUAGAUUAUUUUUGUAGUUGAUGAAUCUAGAAUACUGGUCAGAAUCUGUUGAUAGAUUUUAUCUGGCUGUUUAUUUGGUGCUAAUUUUCCUUUCAUGCUAAUUGAAGAAUUAGAUUGUAAUGCCUAUCGUAUAGCUUUCCUCUGAGCACUUG